UUAAGAUACUAAGAGCAUACGGUGGAUGCCUUGGCGAUAUCUGCCGACGAAGGACGUGACAAGCUGCGAAAAGCUGCGGAGAGAUGCAAAUAAUCGGCGACCCGCAGACAUCCGAAUGGAGCAAUCCGGCUGUGAUGAUGCACAGCCAUCCAUGCCCAAGAGCAUGAGAAGGGAACCGGGCGAACUGAAACAUCUAAGUAACCCGAGGAAAAGAAAUCAAACGAGAUACCCCAAGUAGCGGCGAGCGAACAGGGAAGAAGCCCAAACCGGUGAAGGAAACUUUACCGGGGUUGAGGACCAUCAGACCCGCGAAGAACCUUAGCCGAAACUGUUGGGAAACAGUGCCGAAGACAGUGAAAGCCUGGUAGGCGAAAAAGAGAAACGCGGAGAUGGCACCAGAGUACCGCGGGACACGAGAAAUCCCGUGGGAAGCCGGGGGGACCACCCUCCAAGGCAAAACACAGAUAUCGACCGAUAGCGCAUAGUACCAUGAGGGAAAGGUGAAAAGCACCCCGGGAGGGGAAUGAAAGAGAACCUGAAACCGUAUGUUUACAAGCAGUCGGAGACCGCUUAAUAAUAAGGUCGACGGCGUGCCUAUUGAAGAAUGAACCGGCGAGUUACGAAGCCUGGCAAGGUUAAGCAGGAAAUGCGGAGCCGAAGCGAAAGCGAGUCUUAAGAGGGCGCAAGUCAGGAAGCGUAGACCCGAAACCACAGUGAUCUACCCAUGUCCAGGUUGAAACACAGGUAAAAAUGUGUGGAGGACCGAACCUAUAUCCGUUGAAAAGGGUUAGGAUGAGGUGUGGGUAGGGGUGAAAUUCCAAUCGAACGUGGAGAUAGCUGGUUCUCCCCGAAAUAGCUUUAGGGCUAGCCUCAGGGAAAAGAUUGCAGGCGGUAGAGCACUGAUCAGGAGAGGGACCUACCCGGUUACCAAACCCAGUCAAACUCCGAAUGGCUGCAAUCAUACCUGGGAGUCAGACUGCGACUAAUAAGGGCCGCAGUCAAAAGGGAAACAGCCCAGACCAUCAGCUAAGGUCCCUAAUGCCGUGCUAAGUGGCAAAGGAUGUGGCAUUUCAUAAACAACCAGGAUGUUGGCUCAGAAGCAGCCACCAUUUAAAGAGUGCGUAAUAGCUCACUGGUCGAGAGACGCUGCGCCGAAAAUGUCCGGGGCUCAAGCACGGAACCGAAGCUAUGGCAUGAUAGCAAUAUCAUGGGUAGGGGAGCGUUCUUAUAAGGAAGAAGCAUGACCGGAAGGACAUGUGGACAAAUAAGAAGUGAGAAUGCCGGUAUGAGUAUCGAAAAGAAAGGUGAGAAUCCUUUCCACCGAAAGCCCGAGGGUUCCUGAGCAACGAUCGUCGACUCAGGGUAAGUCGGGACCUAAGCCGAGGCGAAAAGCGUAGGCGAUGGACAACAGGUUGAAAUUCCUGUACCGGAUCAAGUCGAUUGAGCGAAGGAGCGACGCAGGAGGGCACAUGAUCGCGCGGCUGGAAGAGCGCGUCCAAGUGCGUAUGUUGCAGCAGAGGAAAACCCCUGCAGCUAAAAGCAGAGACAUGAUGGGGAGUUAAAGGAAACUUUGACGAACUCAUGAAUCCCACACUGCCAAGAAAAACUUCUAGCGAGACAAGAUCCGCCCGUACCGUAAACCGACACAGGUAGGCGGGGAGAGAAUCCUAAGGUGCGCGGGAAAACCCUCGUUAAGGAACUCGGCAAAUUGCAUCCGUAACCUAGGGAGAAGGAUGGCCCCCGGUCAGUGAAGAGCAGAAACGCUCAGAGCUAAAAGGGGCGGCAGAAAAGAGGCCCAAGCAACUGUUUACCAAAAACACAGGUGCCUGCGAAAGCGAAAGCUGAAGUAUAGGUGCUGACGCCUGCCCGGUGCCGGAAGGUUAAGGAGAGAAGUUAGCGAAAGCGAAGCAUCGAACUGAAGCCCCGGUGAACGGCGGCCGUAACUAUAACGGUCCUAAGGUAGCGAAAUUCCUUGUCGGGUAAG
rnacentral:rRNA from 1 species